rnacentral:misc_RNA from 1 species
GUCGGGGUCCAGGAUUGCAUCUUACAAGUCAUCGUCACUUAUAGACAACGGAAGCUGUUCACUCCCAGUUGUCACUAACUCUUGCAUCAUCAUGAAAGCAUUGCUAACUAUUGCAUUAGCAACGUGAAGUCGGUUCAUCUCAUUUUGUCAUGGUGGAAGCGGGAGGAGUCAUCCAUUAAGUACUGUCAUUUAUACAGAGCUGGGUCAGUCGGUUUCGAAUGUAUCUCUGAUUUGAGAUAAAUGCCCAGCCUAGAGGGGCUUUACCUUUAUGUGGGUCUGGG